AAAUUUAUAGAAAAAAAAAUUAAUAAUUUAUAUUUUUAUUUCCAUUUUCGGAAAAAAUAAAAUAAAAUUGGUUUCCUAUUUCGCAGAAACUGAUUUUGAAAACAAAAAAAAAAAUUAAAGCUUAUCUUUUCAGAACUAGCAACAAACUCAAUUUGAAAUUGGGUCUUAUCUUCUGAAUAUUCUAGAGCAAUUAAACCUAAGAUUUCUAAGUUAUAUAUACUUUAAAUCCCAAUUGAUCUGUCGUAUACAAACACUCUCAAAUAAUACCCAUCUCUUUCAACCUUUCACAAGUCGUCAUUCCCGACCGAUCUUUCAACAACGGAGGCUACUAGGUGAACGUUUUGGAGGUCAUUUACCUUAAGUUUUAAGCGCGAUUCAAGGUUGGUAAAAGGGUACUCGGUUACGUGUGAGGAGACGUUAGAGUAAUCACGUAGCUAAGACAAUUAGUUUAAUUCGGAACUCAUUUAUUUUCCUUUUUAAAUUAAUGUUUUAAAGUGUUUUACAGCUUGGAUGCAACGACUAUUUUAUUUUAUUCUUGUCGCCACUUAGAUCACUUAGUUAUAAAAUGGUAUUUUGUUUUUGCUUUGCACUUGUUUUCUAUGGAAAAUAAGUGUAGCAGUAACACUCUCAAGGUUUGAUGGUCAGUUUUGAAAGAAAAGGAUUAUUCUUAUCGUUUUACAAAGACCCGAAUUUUGGGGGUGUUACAAGUGCUCCAGCAAGUAAGAACCUUUUGUCAAGGCCUGCACGGUCGUGCUUAAGUUGGCACGUCUCUGCAGAAGAGGUUGCACGUCCGUGUCUUAAUUGGCACGCCCGUGCAUGAUUUCCAGCCCAAAUAGUAACUACUGCCAUGCACUGCACGGCCGUGCAUAAGGCAGCACGUCCGUGCCGACCUGCAGUUAGGGGUGUACACCGGUCCAAAACCGGACCGGACCU